UGACGACCUCAGAGCAGGCGAGACUACCCGCUGAAUUUAAGCAUAUUACUAAGCGGAGGAAAAGAAACUAACAAGGAUUUCCUUAGUAGCGGCGAGCGAACAGGAAUUAGCCCAGCACUGAAUCCCGCGGCUCUGCCGUUGGGAAAUGUAGUGUUCGGGAGGGUUCGCUUAUCCCGCGGCGUCGGACCGCGUCCAAGUCCAUCUUGAAUGGGGCCAUUUACCCGUAGAGGGUGCCAGGCCCGUAGCGACCGGGACGCGCCGUGGGUGAAUCUCUCCUUAGAGUCGGGUUGCUUGAGAGUGCAGCUCUAAGUUGGUGGUAAACUCCAUCUAAGGCUAAAUAUG
rnacentral:rRNA from 4 species